AUAUUUAGACCUAGUGUCUUAUUGAAUUAGGACACGUGUAGGUCGGGAAUUAUUUUGGACAUUUGGUUUUGCUAGCAUACGCACGGAACGCAGUUUGUAAGUGAAAUUUGGUUCGUGGCUUUAAGAAGUUGCAUGCAUCAUGGACGAUACCUUUUGGGGGUUUUGCCUUGUAUAUUUCAUCGUAUCGGAAAUAUACUUGACAAAUCCUAGGAACUUUAUAAACAAUAUAACUUUUGGUCGUAUGUGUUUUUGAAACUGGAAGUUGUGUAAACUAAAUAUAUUGUUAUGGUUUGUAAACUUUAAACUUCGGUAUCGUUGAUGCUUAAUCAUAUUAGUUGUUUGCU